ACCAUCUCAGGAUCGCACUUGGAGAUUUUCCAGUAAUCUACCAGUCUCGGCUACAGGAGGGAGAUCAAGCAGAGUCACACCCAUUACAUUCCUAGCUUGGUCAAUGGCUAGAGAGUGGAAGGCAAUCUGCUACAAGU